rnacentral:rRNA from 1 species
UACGUAGGGGGCAAGCGUUGUCCGGAUUUAUUGGGCGUAAAGAGCGCGCAGGCGGUCGUUCAAGUCGCGUGUGAAAGCCCCCGGCUCAACUGGGGAGGGUCACGCGAUACUGAUCGACUCGAAGGCAGGAGAGGGUAGUGGAAUUCCCGGUGUAGUGGUGAAAUGCGUAGAUAUCGGGAGGAACACCAGUGGCGAAGGCGACUACCUGGCCUGUUCUUGACGCUGAGGCGCGAAAGCUAGGGGAGCAAACGGG